UGUCCUUCUCCUCUUAUGUUGUGUUAGAGUCGGUUGAGAACAUCGCCUUCCUUUUGCAUAAAAUGGCCUACUGAAUUGGGACUGGGAGGAGUUCCACACACGGACCCUGAUCAAUUCCCAACCAGAUUCUCAAUCUACCCAUCUAAAUGUCCUCCUUUACUAAGAUAUCCAACUGCAUAUAGCCCUCACCAGGACAAAGGCCAUGGAGCAGAUGCAAGUUCAGGUUGUGAGCGUGUUGGAGGCAACACUCCAAAGAUAUAGAGUAAUCUACGUUGAACUUAUCAAUCUACACAAAUGAGUGGCAGAGGCCGAGGCAGCUACAGAAAAAACUCUGGAUCGGCUGAAGAAUUCUAGGGUCAGAGGAGGAGAUUAACCUAGGAAAAACCCUAGGACACUAAACUAGUCAUCACGCUCGUCUUCCUUCCUUUGUUUGGUAUCUUCUCCUGACUAGCUUUGUAUUUCAUGUUCCCAAGAAAUUAACAUGUUUUUUCAAACUAGUGUGACAUGUUUUUAUUGGCACCCAAGUUCUAAAUUUCUUAUGAACAAUGAAAGAAAAUUUUCAUAA